AAUCAACGCUGGCGGCGCGCUUAACACAUGCAAGUCGAACGAGAAAGCGCCCUUCGGGGUGUGAGUAUAGUGGCGCACGGGUGAGUAACACGUGGGUGAUCUGCCCUUCGGUGGGGAAUAACUCCGCGAAAGUGGAGCUAAUACCGCAUACGAUCUUCGGAUGAAAGGCUUCGGCCGCCGAAGGAGGAGCCCGCGGCCGAUUAGCUUGUUGGUGGGGUAAUGGCUCACCAAGGCUACAAUCGGUAGCCGGCCUGAGAGGGCACACGGCCACACUGGCACUGAGACACGGGCCAGACUCCUACGGGAGGCAGCAGUGAGGAAUCUUGCACAAUGGGGGAAACCCUGAUGCAGCGACGCCGCGUGAGCGAUGAAGCCUCUCGGGGUGUAAAGCUCUUUCAGUGGGAACGAUAAUGACGGUACCCACAGAAGAAGGUGCGGCUAACUACGUG
rnacentral:rRNA from 1 species